GAAGCUGACGGAUUACGCCGCGUGAGGGAUGAAGGCCUCUGGGCUGUAAACCUCUUUUAUCAAGGAAGAAGAUCUGACGGUACUUGAUGAAUAAGCCACGGCUAAUUCCAGUGCCAGCAGCCGCGGUAAUAUGGGAGUGGCAAGCGUUAUCCGGAAUUAUUGGGCGUAAAGCGUCCGCAGGCGGUCUUGUAAGUCUGUCGUUAAAGCGUGGAGCUUAACUCCAUUUGAGCGAUGGAAACUGCAAGACUAGAGUGUGGUAGGGGCAGAGGGAAUUCCCGGUGUAGCGGUGAAAUGCGUAGAUAUCGGGAAGAACACCAGUGGCGAAGGCGCUCUGCUGGGCCAUAACUGACGCUCAUGGACGAAAGCCAGGGGAGCGAAAGGGAUUAGAUACCCCUGUAGUCCUGGCCGUAAACGAUGAACACUAGGUGUCGGGGGAAUCGACCCCCUCGGUGUCGUAGCCAACGCGUUAAGUGUUCCGCCUGGGGAGUACGCACGCAAGUGUGAAACUCAAAGGAAUUGACGGGGGCCCGCACAAGCGGUGGAGUAUGUGGAUUAAUUCGAUGCAACGCGAAGAACCUUACCAGGUAUGACAUCCUGGAAUC
rnacentral:rRNA from 1 species